GUAAAAACAUGGAUGUCUUUUUCUAACAUCUGUAACAGUCCUCUGCUAUUAAGCCAAACCCUAAAGAAGACAGGGAUAAAGAAUGGGCUUUGGAGUCAAGAUGAUAUCAAGUCCUAACUGACACCUACUUGUAUGACCCUGGACAAAUCAUUUAACCUCUUACUGCCCCCAGGCAAUUCUCUAAGACUAUGUAAAUAAAAUGUAUACAAUAAGCA
rnacentral:lncRNA from 1 species